UGGGGAAUAUUGGACAAUGGGGGCAACCCUGAUCCAGCGAUGCCGCGUGUGUGAAGAAGGCCUGCGGGUUGUAAAGCACUUUUGGUCGGAGGGAGAGGUUAGUGGUUAAGAGCUGUUAACUAAGACGUGCCCGACAGAAAAAGCACUGGCUAACUCUGUGCCAGCAGCCGCGGUAAUACAGAGAGUGCAAGCGUUAAUCGGAAUUACUGGGCGUAAAGGGCGCGUAGGUGGGUAACGACGUCAGAUGUGAAAUAGAUGGGCUCAACCUGUCGAAGUCGUCUGAAACCCGUUAUCUAGAGUUUGGUAGAGGUCAGUGGAAUUUCCGGUGUAGCGGUGAAAUGCGUAGAUAUCGGAAGGAACACCCGUGGCGAAGGCGGCUGACUGGACUGAGACUGACACUGAGGCGCGAAAGCGUGGGUAGCGAACAGGAUUAGAUACCCCCGUAGUCC
rnacentral:rRNA from 1 species